GGGACCACGAGAGCUGCUGGCCCUGAUGAAGUUUUCCAGGACUGGGAAGGUGGACAAGAAUGAAAUGUGCUCAGCCACGUUGGAGACUGCCACAAGUACCGUCCUUGUGAGUGAGUCAGAAGAUGUCACGGGGGGAGUCAGCAUGUUCAUCCUGCCCACCAAUGAGGAACCUCUACUGCAGGUAGCAACAGAUGCCAACUGGAGCAACCUGGACUUCUAUC